CUGCCAAUGAUCACAUGACCACUGCGCAAUCUCUGGGAACCAGGUGAUGGAGUGUGCUAUGAACACUGAGCCCC